rnacentral:rRNA from 1 species
UGGGGAAUAUUGCACAAUGGGCGAAAGCCUGAUGCAGCGACGCCGCGUGCGGGAUGAAGGCCUUCGGGUUGUAAACCGCUUUUAAUUGGGAGCAAGCGAGAGUGAGUGUACCUUUUGAAUAAGCACCGGCUAACUACGUGCCAGCAGCCGCGGUAAUACGUAGGGUGCAAGCGUUAUCCGGAAUUAUUGGGCGUAAAGAGCUCGUAGGCGGUUUGUCACGCCUGGUGUGAAAGUCCAUCGCUUAACGGUGGAUCUGCGCCGGGUACGGGCAGGCUAGAGUGCAGUAGGGGAGAUUGGAAUUCCCGGUGUAACGGUGGAAUGUGUAGAUAUCGGGAAGAACACCAAUGGCGAAGGCAGAUCUCUGGGCUGUUACUGACGCUGAGGAGCGAAAGCAUGGGGAGCGAACAGGAUUAGAUACCCUGGUAGUCCAUGCCGUAAAACGGUGGAUGCUGGAUGUGGGACCCUUCCACGGGUUCCGUGUCGGAGCUAACGCGUUAAGCAUCCCGCCUGGGGGAGUACGGCCGCAAGGCUAAAAAC